rnacentral:rRNA from 1 species
GACGAACGCUGGCGGCGUGCUUAACACAUGCGAGUCGAACGGAAAGGCCCUGCUUUUGUGGGGUGCUCGAGUGGCGAACGGGUGAGUAACACGUGAGUAACCUGCCCUUGACUUUGGGAUAACUUCAGGAAGCUGGGGCUAAUACCGGAUAGGAGCUCCUGCUGCAUGGUGGGGGUUGGAAAGUUUCGGCGGUUGGGGAUGGACUCGCGGCUUAUCAGCUCGUUGGUGGGGUAGUGGCUUACCAAGGCUUUGACGGGUAGCCGGCCUGAGAGGGUGACCGGACACAUUGGGACUGAGAUAGGGCCCAGAGUCCUACGGGAGGCAGCAGUGGGAAAUAUUGCACAAUGGGAGGAAGCCUGAUGCAGCAACGCCGCGUGCGGGAUGACGGCCUUCGGGUUGUAAACCGCUUUCGCCUGUGACGAAGCGUGAGUGACGGUAAUGGGUAAAGAAGCACCGGCUAACUACGUG